CACUUAUCAAGAAAGGCAGAGGGUCAUGGCCCUUUGAAGCCUUAGCAACCUCUCUCCGGAGGCAUCCGGGGAAGCUGGUGCUAAUUCCAUCACGCCACAGGCGUGAAAGAUAAGUC
rnacentral:ncRNA from 2 species